rnacentral:lncRNA from 1 species
CGCCUGCUCGUUACAUCGACAGUUUGUGUGGGUAGACCGUGCGUGUUGUUCUGACGGAGAAUUUAUAAUACUCACCUCUACUCAAUGAACCUACCUUUCGCUUGUUAUUUUGUCCCCGACGGUUGUGGUUUUCUGCGUCAUAGCAACAGAGAUGUAAAUCAAGUUAGCCUCCACCUCUUCAUUUGAUAUGCAGCUACUGACAUAACCAGGAGCGCUGAAGUGACAGAGUGCAGCGGAAGAUGGACAUCCGGAGUGGCAUACAAAAGGCAGUGGAGCCCCUCCCUGCCUCUCUCCCCUCUUCCCCUCAACAGUCGGGUGCCCAUCAGCAGAGCGAGCCGGAGGACAGCCAGGCAGAACGGAGUGCCAGGCCCACCGCUGACAACCACAGCAACGACACCCAGCCAGCCGCCGGCCACCGAGACGACAAAAAAGACCUGAGCCCUAGGACCAUGCCUCAGGACUACCUGGUAUGAUGACUCCUUGCUGUCCCCAGUCCACCUAGCCGUGCUGCUGCUCCAGUUUCAACUGUUCUGCCUGCAGCUAUGGAACCCUGACCUGUUCACCGGACGUGCUUGUUGCACCCUCGACAACUACUAUGAUUAUUAUUAUUUGACCAUGCUGGUCAUUUAUGAACAUUUUAACAUUUUAACAUCUUGACCAUGUUCUGUUAUAAUAUCCACCCUGCACAGCCAGAAGAGGACUGGCCACCCCUCAUAGCGUGGUUCCUCUCUAGGUUUCUUCCUAGGUUUUUGGCCUUUCUAGGGAGUUUUUCCUAGGGAGUUUUUCCUAGCCACCGUGCUUCUUUCACAUGCUUUGCUUGCUGUUUGGGGUUUUAGGCUGGGUUUCUGUACAGCACUUUGAGAAUAUCAGCUGAUGUACGAAGGGCUAUAUAAAAAUACAUUUGAUUUGAAAUAUGGUUUUCGUGCUGCGUGACUGGGUCCUUAAGCCCUUGCUGCUGUUCAGGGGCUGCCCACAAGGGGGGAGGAGAAAUUCGCACAAUUAAUUGAGGCUGGAUUUAGAGUCCGGUUGCGUGUCAGGGAAGCUCCCAAAACGCAAACUAUGUAAAAUAUGUUGGGGGGGAUGCGAAAUUCAUGGAAGCCACGUCGUCUCCAUUUCCUUUCUAAGUGUUAGUAUGUUUUAUUCAGCUGGAGCAUCAGUUUCACAGAGGUUGUGUCCCAAAUGGCACCCUAUUCCCUAUAUAGGGCACGACUUUAUAAGGCUCUGGUCAAAAGUAGUGCACUAUAUAGGGAAAAGGUUCAAUUUGGGAGGCAACCAGAGACUGGGAAAAGGAGACUGUCCUAGUUUAGCAUAAUAGAUCUUCCUGUCAGAUCAAAUCAGCCUCUGGUGUUUACAGUCAAUCAUCUAUGGAAUGACAACAAUCCAGCCCAAGACCGCUGCGGUCAUAUAAGGAGUUCAAAGACCUACUAAUUAAAUGAAAUAUUCGGUUUAAAACCCACUGAUUCCUAGAAGGGGUGUUCAUGAUCAAUUUUUUGAACUGCCGAAUGAUAAACUAUAUUCCCAAUUCUGUGAACAGACAGAAUGGCACCAUUGCAUGAUUUCGGCCACAUCAAGUUCAUCAUGAUCAAGAGGUAAAGUGUAGAGAUGGUCCGUGUUUCCCUGUGCAUCAGCUCUAAUCUCAGUAACGAUUGGAUUGCUCGUCUCUGAGCAGAGAGAGUAAAUCCGGCAAACAAUUGUCGAAUGCCUUAUCCCCCUGUUUACAGCGAGCCUUCAAUCGAUAUCCAUGGAGCGCUCGAAUAAACAAACCCUAAAAGCAGAGCUUCUGCUAGCCUCGGAGAUCCCAGCUGUAACAAUGAUUCAUUUUAACAACCAGAGCUAAUUGUCUCCCAAACUUUAGUUAACAGCCAAUAUGAUCUGGCCCUGGGUGCUUUUCUCCACUGUAAUGAAGAAUAAUGAGGGAUGGAAUUACUGCUGGCACUUUUUUCAGGUGGAUUUGUUCGAAAGCAGAGGGCAGAGGGGGCCGAGUCUGUGAAUGAAGAGAGAGCCUGGAACGUAUUUGUCGGGAGAGUUCAACUGCGGAGCUCUUGGUUCAAAUUGAAUGACAUCGGGAAAUCAGAGCCUUGUGUUACAUGGAGGAAUUAGAUCUCUGUGUUUUAUGUUAUUCUUGUCGAGGAUUUGCUCAAUGCUCGCGGGGCAUUGUAUGCCGUCAGACAUCUUGUGAGGCACUUACAGUGCCUUCAGAAAGUAUUCAUACCCCUUGACUUAUUUCAUAUUGUGUUACAGCCUGAAUUCAAAAUGGAUUACAUAUUUUUUUCUCACCCAUCUUCACACAAUACCCUGUAAUGACAAAGUGAAAACAUGUUUUUAGACAUUUUUGCAAAUGUAUUGACAAUGAAAUACAUAAAUUAGAAUUCACACCCCUGAGUCAAUGCAUGUUUGGAAUCACCUUUGGCAGCGUUUACAGCUGUGAGCCUUUCUGGGUAUGUCUCUAAGAGAUUUCCACACCUUGAUUGUGCAAAUUUGGCCAUUAUUCUUUUCAAAAUUCUUCAAGCUCUGUCAAAUGGGUUGUUGAUCAUCGCUAGACAACUGUUGCGGUCAGUGGCGUUUCAGAUGACGGAGGAUGAUUCAUUGUUUUAUGAGCAUGGCCGUAUUUCUAUUACAGCAUAUUGGAUGACUGUCAUUCAUAUUCCAUUCACCCAGUUCAAUAUAACAUUGAUAGGUUUAGGCUACUACAUGAUACUCACAUUUUCCCUGUAACCGUCAUGAGGUUGCUACAACCCAGCCUAUGAAUGAAAGUUUACAAUGUAGGUGCACGGGUCGAGAGAAAAAUUUGAGUAAUCAAGGUGACAGACAAUGUCACGGAUCCCUCCAGAACUGUGUCAUUACGCACACCUGGUCCCUAUUCCCAUUGAUUAGUAAUUGUGUAAGUGUGCCCAUUGUUCAACAUUGUCCUGUCGAUUAUUGUUCCAAUAUCCGUUGGUACGUGUGAAUACCUGUGCUGUGUGUUUUGGCUUUCGUGCCAUUGUGGAUUGCGCAGAUGAUUACGGGCCUCGUCCCGUGUGAUAUCAUUGAGCACUUGUGUGUUUCGGGUCUCUCCCCAGUGUAUUUAUUCCAGGUACUCCUCACUCUUUUGUUUGGGGUUCAACACUGUAUUUUGUAUACGUGUUUGUUUGGUCUUCGUCC